UGUAGUUGGACCUUUAAUAGCCUACUACGCAGCUAUAAUUCAUGUUAAAUUAUGCGUUUCUUUUGUUGUUGCUGUAAAAAAAAGACAAAAAAAUAAAAGUUUUGCAACGAUGGUAAAGGUCAUGCGGGGGUCAGAGUUGGGACACGUUGGACGUUGCUAGCAAAGCUGUCAUCAUGGAGGUUGAGAUAACCAGGGGAGCAAAAAAUAAAAAAAAAGUACACCGCAAAACAAGAAGGAAGAAAUGAAAAGAUACAAACGCGAACGUUUUUAUAAGUGACUGGAUUUGUGACGCUUCAGCCGGUACCAUGCAGAAAAACCGAAAACAAAACAUCAGUGCUAACUCAACUGUAGGCUAUAACGCUACAGUAUAUGACUUUUGAAUGAGAGGCUUCGAAAGGUGGAUUUUACCGAUGUGAGAAAGACAUCCUGCUGCUAAGAUUAUCCAGAGUAACACUACUUCUAAUAGGGAACCACAGUGAGUUGCUUAGGUGAAGUGGUUGCAGUUUGUGCCUAACUCCCAACACGUCAUCAAGGAUCUCAUCUAGACAGGUGCUUCCUGUCUGGACUUUGACGUAAAAUUAAACACAUGUCCAGAUGUGAAGUAUGUGUGUCCAUGAAAGUGUGUGUGCAUGUGUGUGCAUGUCUAAGACAGAAAAAACGGUUUCUGUUUCUGUGCACGACCUGGUCAUUUUACCACAGUUGAAAGAAGAAGGAAUGUAAAGAAAUAAAGUAAGACAGACAGACAGAAGAAGAGAGAGGGUAAUAAAGAGUGUGGCCAUGAAAGAGAAUUUGCGACAAAUGCAAUCCCAUGAUUGAACAAGUUAACUUUCAGUGAACCUAUUACCCCUAUAACUUAAGCAAUGCACAGAGAAAUUAAAUAUGUCUACUUGGUGUAUGCACCCCUCUCUUUAUUUACAUGUGUUUUGCUCCUUGAAAAAAUACAAAAAGUUAGCCUACACAUCCACAUAGAAUACUGACAUUGUGAAUGAAACCGUGUAAAUCAUUGUAGCUUUCCACAACAUACAUCCAUACAGUAUUUGUGCCUGUGUAUCUAUCAUGUACAAAUGUUCAUUCAAUUUUAUU